rnacentral:rRNA from 1 species
UAGGGAAUCUUCGGCAAUGGGGGCAACCCUGACCGAGCAACGCCGCGUGAGUGAAGAAGGUUUUCGGAUCGUAAAGCUCUGUUGUAAGAGAAGAAAGUGUGUGAGAGUGGAAAGUUCACACAGUGACGGUAACUUACCAGAAAGGGACGGCUAACUACGUGCCAGCAGCCGCGGUAAUACGUAGGUCCCGAGCGUUGUCCGGAUUUAUUGGGUGUAAAGCGAGCGCAGGCGGUUUAAUAAGUCUGAAGUUAAAGGCAGUGGCUUAACCAUUGUUCGCUUUGGAAACUGUUAAACUUGAGUGCAGAAGGAGAGAGUGGAAUUCCAUGUGUAGCAGUGAAAUGCGUAGAUAUAUGGAGGAACACCGGUGGCGAAAGCGGCUCUCUGGUCUGUAACUGACGCUGAGGCUCGAUAGCGUGGGGAGCAAACAGG